rnacentral:lncRNA from 1 species
CUCACAUUCAUGUAUAGGAUGUAAACAUCUUUGGCAUCUUUAUGUAUGGUUUAUAGUGUUCACUUUUUAAUCUUUUUAAAAAAUAUUCAUCUUAAUUUGUUAAUAUGUUAACAGAUCACAUUUCCUGGAGCAGGAAAAUUUCCACACAUCAUUGGAGGAUCAGAUCUGAUAGCUCAUCAUGCUCGAAAGAAUACAGAAUUAGAAGAUUGGCUGAGGCAGGAAAUGGAGGUACAAAAACAACAUGCAAAAGAAGAAUCUCUUGCUGAUGACCUCUUCAGAUAUAAUCCUAAUGUUAAGAGGAGAAGAUAACUAAGAACAUUAAAAGGAAGCUCUGGAAACACAUCGCCUACAAACAUUUACUUUAGGCAAACUGAGAUCAGUGAAUAUUUUGUACAAGAGAGUUAAGUUACAAAUACUUUAUGGCCUAAAUUUGUUAAAUAAAAUGCACAAAACUCAUUCCUUUCA